rnacentral:snoRNA from 1 species
GGACGAUGAUGAUCCAAAAGAAAGGUCUCGUUCGUCGUAAUGGCGAUCCGCCUUGCCGACCAAUCUGAUAUACCACUACCCAUAUUCUGAGUCC